UGGCAAUGGUCCUGCCGGGUUGCUGGUACCACGUGUAAGGGAAGAUGCAAUGCUACAUUGCAAAGGAUUCUUCUUCGUCUCAUUCACUAAGAAACCACUAUUGAUGUGCUCUGGUCUGUUUGGAGCCCAUUUCACAUGCUGUUCCACAAAGAUAGACAUCUCUGAACAUCCAAAACCUACUGAAGUUGGUAUGGCUCCUCAAGAAAAUAGAAAUUAAUCAUCAGAGGAAAUCUAAGGUCUCUCCCACUUCAGGAGAAAUGGAAGAUUGAAAAUACAGUGAAAAUACAACACUUAAGUCUGCCAAACCAAUGGAUACAGCUUAGAAACAGCUUCAAAUAUGAUUAUAACAGGUUUCACAAUUGUAAUCAGUGGAUAGUAAACAGGACAUUAUUUGUCCACUUGUGAUUCAGUGGCUCUGCUUCCUACAGAGUUAUUUACUCUUUGAGAAUGACAUAAAUAGUUACAGCACUUAUUUAAUUUUAAAGAAGAAAAAAUAGGUAAAGAGGAAAUAUUAACAGAGUGUUUUGUAAGAAGGAUUACAAAAGAAAUCCCAAACCAAUUUGCUGGUAGGAAAAAAACCCGAGUUCUCUAGAAUGGGCUAUGAAUGUACUAUAAACACAUGAUAAAGAGUCUUCUUUCUCAUCUUAUAACCUA